CGGAUGACAGGAGCUUGCUCCUGGAUUCAGCGGCGGACGGGUGAGUAAUGCCUAGGAAUCUGCCUGGUAGUGGGGGACAACGUUUCGAAAGGAACGCUAAUACCGCAUACGUCCUACGGGAGAAAGCAGGGGACCUUCGGGCCUUGCGCUAUCAGAUGAGCCUAGGUCGGAUUAGCUUGUUGGUGAGGUAAUGGCUCACCAAGGCGACGAUCCGUAACUGGUCUGAGAGGAUGAUCAGUCACACUGGAACUGAGACACGGUCCAGACUCCUACGGGAGGCAGCAGUGGGGAAUAUUGGACAAUGGGCGAAAGCCUGAUCCAGCCAUGCCGCGUGUGUGAAGAAGGUCUUCGGAUUGUAAAGCACUUUAAGUUGGGAGGAAGGGUUGUAGAUUAAUACUCUGCAAUUUUGACGUUACCGACAGAAUAAGCACCGGCUAACUCUGUGCCAGCAGCCGCGGUAAUACAGAGGGUGCAAGCGUUAAUCGGAAUUACUGGGCGUAAAG
rnacentral:rRNA from 1 species